rnacentral:rRNA from 1 species
GACGAACGCUGGCGGCGUGCUUAACACAUGCAAGUCGAGCGGUAAGGCCCUUCGGGGUACACGAGCGGCGAACGGGUGAGUAACACGUGAGUAAUCUGCCCAUCACUUCGGGAUAACUCCGGGAAACCGGUGCUAAUACCGAAUAUGACCACUUCAGGCAUCUGAUGGUGGUGGAAAGUUCCGGCGGUGAUGGAUGAGCUCGCGGCCUAUCAGCUUGUUGGUGGGGUAGUGGCCUACCAAGGCUUCGACGGGUAGCCGGCCUGAGAGGGUGACCGGCCACACUGGGACUGAGACACGGCCCAGACUCCUACGGGAGGCAGCAGUGGGGAAUAUUGGACAAUGGGCGAAAGCCUGAUCCAGCAACGCCGCGUGAGGGAUGACGGCCUUCGGGUUGUAAACCUCUUUCAGCAGGGACGAAGCGCAAGUGACGGUACCUGCAGAAGAAGCACCGGCCAACUACGU